GAUGAACGCUGGCGGCGUGCCUAAUACAUGCAAGUCGAGCGAACGGACGAGAAGCUUGCUUCUCUGAUGUUAGCGGCGGACGGGUGAGUAACACGUGGAUAACCUACCUAUAAGACUGGGAUAACUUCGGGAAACCGGAGCUAAUACCGGAUGAUAUUUUGAACCGCAUGGUUCAAAGGUGAAAGACGGUCUUGCUGUCACUUAUAGAUGGAUCCGCGCUGCAUUAGCUAGUUGGUAAGGUAACGGCUUACCAAGGCAACGAUGCAUAGCCGACCUGAGAGGGUGAACGGCCACACUGGAACUGAGACACGGUCCAGACUCCUACGGGAGGCAGCGGUAGGGAAUCUUCCGCAAUGGGCGGAAGCCUGACGGAGCAGCGCCGCGUGAGUGAUGAAGGUCUUCGGAUCGUAAAACUCUGUUAUUAGGGAAGAACAUAUGUGUAAGUAACUGUGCACAUCUUGACGGUACCUAAUCAGAAAGCCACGGCUAACUACGUG
rnacentral:rRNA from 1 species